UACGUAGGGUGCGAGCGUUGUCCGGAAUUAUUGGCGUAAGAGCUCGUAGGCGGUGUGUCACGUCGGCCGUGAAAACCUGCAGCCUUAACUGUGGGCGUGCGGUCGAAUACGGGCAUCACUGGAGUUCGGCAGGGGAGACUUCGGAAGUUCCUGUGUAGCGGUGAAAUGCGCAGAUAUCAGGAGGAACACCGGUGGCGAAGGCGGUCUCUGGCCGAUGACUGACGCUGAGACGCGAAGCUAGGGAGCGAACAGG
rnacentral:rRNA from 1 species